rnacentral:rRNA from 1 species
GACGAACGCUGGCGGCGUGCUUAACACAUGCAAGUCGAACGGAAAGGCCCUGCUUUUGUGGGGUGCUCGAGUGGCGAACGGGUGAGUAACACGUGAGUAACCUGCCCUUGACUUUGGGAUAACUUCAGGAAACUGGGGCUAAUACCGGAUAGGAGCUCCUGCUGCAUGGUGGGGGUUGGAAAGUUUCGGCGGUUGGGGAUGGACUCGCGGCUUAUCAGCUUGUUGGUGGGGUAGUGGCUUACCAAGGCUUUGACGGGUAGCCGGCCUGAGAGGGUGCCCGGCCACAUUGGGACUGAGAUACGGCCCAGACUCCUACGGUAGGCAGCAGUGGGGAAUAUUGCACAAUGGGCGGAAGCCUGAUGCAGCGACGCCGCGUGCGGGAUGACGGCCUUCGGGUUGUAAACCGCUUUCGCCUGUGACGAAGCGUGAGUGACGGUAAUGGGUAAAGAAGCACCGGCUAACUACGUG